GAUGAACGCUGGCGGCGUGCCUAAUACAUGCAAGUCGAGCGAACAGAUGAGGAGCUUGCUCCUCUGACGUUAGCGGCGGACGGGUGAGUAACACGUGGAUAACCUACCUAUAAGACUGGGAUAACUUCGGGAAACCGGAGCUAAUACCGGAUAAUAUAUUGAACCGCAUGGUUCAAUAGUGAAAGACGGUUUUGCUGUCACUUAUAGAUGGAUCCGCGCCGCAUUAGCUAGUUGGUAAGGUAACGGCUUACCAAGGCAACGAUGCGUAGCCGACCUGAGAGGGUGAUCGGCCACACUGGAACUGAGACACGGUCCAGACUCCUACGGGAGGCAGCAAUAGGGAAUCUUCCGCAAUGGGCGAAAGCCUGACGGAGCAACGCCGCGUGAGUGAUGAAGGUCUUCGGAUCGUAAAACUCUGUUAUUAGGGAAGAACAAAUGUGUAAGUAACUAUGCACGCCUUGACGGUACCUAAUCAGAAAGCCACGGCUAACUACGUG
rnacentral:rRNA from 1 species